AAGACUACACUUUCAGGGAUCAUUCCUAUAGCAUGCUACUAGAGAAGUUUUUCUAGUGGAGCACCUGAAACCUUGAAGAAUCAGAGCAUCCUCUCCUGAGCAUGAAGGUGGUACUAGGUGUAGCUUCUGCAACUGCCUUUUACCACUGGUAAUCGUUCUUCUCUUUCUUUGGAAGAGGGAGAGGAUGCCAGCUAAGUGG
rnacentral:snoRNA from 1 species